rnacentral:rRNA from 1 species
UAAUACGAAAGGUGCAAGCGUUACUCGGAAUCACUGGGCGUAAAGCGCGCGUAGGCGGAUUCGUAGGUCGAUUGUGAAAUACCUGGGCUCAACCCGGGAACGGCAGUCGAAACCGCGUUUCUUGAAUACCUGAGAGGGUGGGGGAAUACCUAGUGGAGAAGUGAAAUUCGUAGAGAUUAGGUGGAACACCAGAGGCGAAGGCGCCUGCCUGGCAGUGUAUUGACGCUAAAGUGCGAAAGUGCGGGGAGCAAACAGGAUUAGAUACCCUGGUAGUCCGCACCGUAAACGAUGGAUACUAGGCGUUUGGGGAAUUAACCCUCUGAGUGCCGAAGUUUACACAUUAAGUAUCCCGCCUGGGAAGUACGGUCGCAAGACUA